rnacentral:rRNA from 1 species
GAUGAACGCUGGCGGCAUGCCUAACACAUGCAAGUCGGACGGGAAGUGGUGUUUCCCGUGGCGGUCGGGUGAGCAACGCGUAAGAACCUGCCCUUGGGAGGGGAACAACAUCUGGAAACGGCUGCUAAUACCCCGUAGGCUGAGUAGCAAAAGGAGGAAUCCGCCGGAGGAGGCGCUCGCGCCUGAUUAGAUAGUUGGUGAGGCAAUGGUUUACCAAGUCGAUGAGCAGUAGCUGACCAGAGAGAACGAUCGGCCACGCUGGAACUGGGACACGGGCCAGACUGGGACGGGAAGACGGAGCAGGGUACUUCGGGCAACAGGAGUGAGGAAGUUUCAGCAAUGCGGGAUGGGCUGAGAGGGCAAUGCGGUGUGAAAGUAGAAGGGCUACGGAUGAAGAACUUCUUUUCCCAGAGAAGAAACAAUGACGGUAUCUAAGGAAUAAGCAUCGGCUAACUCUGUG